rnacentral:lncRNA from 1 species
CAGGAUUUCAAAAUCAAUGACGUGGUUGAUAAAAAAAAUAAAAAAAGAAUCAACAGUGAAAUAAAACCGGGUAAAGACCUAACAAAGCCAAACCAAUUGUUUCUAAUUUCUCCACAAGUUCCCGGCAGAGAAGCACGCCAAUCACCUUUCUCUCCGGCCAACUUCCGACUACCGAACCGGUGUCCAACCUCCACUACAGUGUAAUCACGAAAGCUCACCAAAACUCAACAUUGAACCAAUAUUUGAAGGUAGCCGUGACAACGCGAUAUGAUGGACAAAGGUAUUUUUCUUCUUGGUUCUAAAUUGGGUAGCUCAGAAAUUGGUUACUUGCCUGAACUAUAUUCUUUAGUGGCUAUGAUAGUCUAUAUGGUGUCAUAGAAAAGAGUAGUUUUGGAGAAAUUUUGGAGUGUUGGAAAAUGUACAGAGACCAAAUUUAUUGUUUUCCUAAAAUUUUCGGCCUCAAAACAUGUUUUUGUUUUAUGUUUCUGAAAGUGAACAUCUUGCAUUGGGCAAAAAUUUUCUGAAUUUUGAACCUUCACUUUGAUAUCCCAGUGAGAAAAAUUCGUCUUCAGUUGUGCUUUGUAAAUUUUGAACCAUAACCAUUUGUACUUUCAUACAGUCAUUGAAUAACGGCACCGGACAUAUGUCAAGUGUCUCCUAAGUUGCUGAGUUUUGUUCGUAGCAUAGUCUUGCUGGUACUUAAAUAUAAUUGGCAAAUUGUAAUGAAAUAAGAAAUGUUGUUGCAGGGAAAGAUAUUGUGGAAGAUAGAAUGAUGACCUGUUGCUGGAAUGAAAUGAGAAAUGUUUUACAGUUCUUGAUGUUGGUUGUGGUGUUGCCAGUUUUGGUGCUUACCUUCUAAAAUUCGAUAUCUUUGCUAUGUCUUUAGCACCAAAUGAUUUGCACCAAAAUCAGAUCCAAUUUGCGCUAGAAAGAGGAAUUCCUAUAUAUCUUGAUGUUCUUGAACAAAGAGACUCCCUUACCCAAGCAGAUCUUUUAAACUUGCACACUGUUCUCGUUGUAGAAUUGAUUGGCUGUGGAGGGAUGGGCUCCUUCUUUUUGAAUUGGAUAGGCUUCUUAGACUUGGAGGCUAUUUUGUCUACUCGUCCCCUGAAGCUUAUGCACGGGAUGAAGAAGACCUAAGAAUAAGGAGGGAGAUGAGUGCGCUUGUAGAACGUAUGUGUUGGAGGAUUGCUGUAAAAAGGAAUCAAAUUGUGCCUUUAACGAAUGACCGUUAUUUGGAAGGACAAUUCCAAUUGUACAUAAUUUUUGGUACUCACCGAGCAAGGUGGCACCAACUUGUGAUUUUCGUUGAUGUUAUUAUUCAACAUGUAACAGGAGGUUGCUCGGUGUUAACUUUAUUUUGGAAUUUUCAGUUUUAAAAUUUGUGUUGGAAUAUUAGAUUCUUGAUCCAUUA